UACGAAGGGUGCUAGCGUUGUUCGGAAUUACUGGGCGUAAAGAGCGCGUAGGCGGCUAUACAAGUCAGGGGUGAAAUCCCGGAGCUUAACUCCGGAACUGCCUUUGAAACUGUAUAGCUGGAGUGUGUGAGGGGAUAGCGGAAUUCCUAAUGUAGAGGUGAAAUUCGUAGAUAUUAGGAGGAACACCAGUGGCGAAGGCGACUUCCUGGCCUGUUCUUGACGCUGAGGCGCGAAAGCUAGGGGAGCAAACGGG
rnacentral:rRNA from 1 species